rnacentral:misc_RNA from 1 species
GCGAGGAGUCCUUUUUUUAAGAAUGUAUUCUGUGGGAAAGAUAGCAACACGAAGCUGGAACUCAAAGAGCUGAUGAAAGAGUAUGAGGUGAGUUUUGAUGCCGUGGUCAGUGUGCUCGCCUAUUUGUAUAGUGGAAAAGUUAGGCCUGCAUCUAAAGAUGUGUGUGUUUGUGUGGACAAUGAGUGCUUGCAUGUAGCUUGUAGGCCAGCUGUGGCCUUCAUGGUU